rnacentral:rRNA from 1 species
UGGGGAAUAUUGCACAAUGGGGGAAACCCUGAUGCAGCGACGCCGCGUGAACGAAGAAGGUAUUCGUAUCGUAAAGUUCUGUCCUAUGGGAAGAUAAUGACAGUACCAUAGAAGAAAGCUCCGGCUAAAUACGUGCCAGCAGCCGCGGUAAUACGUAUGGAGCGAGCGUUGUCCGGAAUUAUUGGGCGUAAAGGGUACGCAGGCGGUUUAAUAAGUCGAAUGUUAAAGAUCGGGGCUCAACCCCGCAAAGCAUUGGAAACUGAUAAACUUGAGUAGUGGAGAGGAAAGUGGAAUUCCUAGUGUAGUGGUGAAAUACGUAGAUAUUAGGAGGAAUACCAGUAGCGAAGGCGACUUUCUGGACACAAACUGACGCUGAGGUACGAAAGCGUGGGCAGCAAACAGG